AUGCAACGGCCCCCCUGCGGAUUGGUAAAGGGGAGUGAGCAGAGGGGUUCCGCAGACCGACUCGGAACCCUGCAGGGACCAGCUGGGAAGCGCCUUUGCCUUGGGACCUGUGUACAACCCCCCUGCCGCUGCCGUCCCCCUCCUCUCAGCCUCCUACGCUCCCUCUAUGUCCCCGCCUCUCUGGGAAAAUGGCGCCCGCCGCUCUCCCCUCCCUCCCGCUACACGGGGCUCACCCCUCCCGCCCGGCAGGGGCAAGGUUGCCAGGGCGAAGCCAAACGGCCGCCAUUUUGCUUGUGGGCUGGAGCGCAGUCUGUGUCCGUUAAGUCCUCCCUCGUGCCAUGUCCAUUUUACAAAGGGGGUUUUCUCGCGAUCUUAAACUGUUCGAUAGCCGGGGCCAGAGAGCGCGGCCCGCGAUCGAAAAAUGCUAGAAAGCGGCAGCCUAGGGGACGGCGGGGGCGAGGGGACUGUGUCUGGGGGGAGACUCGGGGCGAUCGUGCAGCGGAGUCCACAGGCGGGGGGGCUCGGCGCCAAAAUGAUGCCGGGGGGGACCUAAAGCGCGGAGCGAGACCCUGUUUUCCGCAGGGACGCAGACCUCGAAACCUGUCGUCAGCCUGCCCCCAAGAUGCUUGGUUGGGCUACUCGCUCAGGUUCUGCCUGUUAUUGUGUGAAAUGGCGGCUGCUGUCUUGGUGGGUUUGGUUUUGUUGUUUUUUUCCUUCUUUCUCCUCCCAUUCCCCUCCCCCACCUCUGUCUUGGCCACUUCUCCGCAGCGAACCACGGUGAGGACUGAGUCAGGAGGAAGAGGAGUGGGGAGUGGACCGCAUUGAAGCCAAUAGCCAGGCACGCCCGGAUUGUCUGCUGCUGACAUCAUCUUCCAGCCGGGGCAGCUGCAGCUAGGCAGGACUGAGGAGCUGUCGGGGGAGGCUGGUGCAAAGGGAGAAGCUGGGCGCCAUGAUCCCAGCACUGGGAAAUCUGUGAGGGCACGGAGACUGAGGCAGGUUCAUGGGAAGGGAACGAGAAGGCCUUGACAACCAUCACCCAAGCAGUGCCGUGACUGAGGAGAUACGCUGGGGGAGAGGGUCAGCCUGUGCCUGUAUUUGUAACUGUGUCAGUACAGAAUGGCACAGGGUCUCCCUGGAGAGGGACGGGAACUGCAUGUCCGCCGGAGGUCAUGUGACCGCGUUGCAGUCUUGUGGGGUUGUUUGGCUGCAGACCAAGCUGGCGGAGAUGGUGGCUGCUGCUGGGGAGAGUCCGCGCUUCCUUCCCUGCCCCAUCAUCCCCGCCCCAGGCUGGAGAGUCUGGGUGGAUUUUUAUUUCCCUUCCCUAUUAUCCGUCUGCAGAAGGGUGUAGCUGGUGCUGCUGAGAAAGGUUCUCGCUUCUCAUCCCAUUCCCCACCCCCAGAAUGUGGCAGCUCCUUCUGGGGAAAGUUCAUUCCUCCUCCCCCUCUUCUCUGCAUUGAGCUUAGCUGCUGCAGAAGAAAAUUCUCGUUCUUCCUCUCCCUGCCCCACCCCCCUCUUUCCAUGAGAGUCUGGGGGCGGAGAGUAAUGUUUUCCACAACUCCCAGACAAGGUUGUAAGGUGUCUGAUUGCUGCUAUCUAAAUUAGGUCACAUUUGUGAUCCUGUCUUUGACUCUCCUUAUUUCACUUAUAAGAGCAACUCUAUUGGUUAGAUUUCCUGUGGUAGUGCUUGUUGGUAUCUCUUCAUCUUAGUGAGACACUUAACUAUCCUAGUCCACCUCUGCACGGUUUGCAAAUAUACUCAUUUUUGUGAACUGCUGUGUGCUCCCUCUCAACAUUGGACCGAUUUGCAGAGGUGGCUUACUAGGAAAAAUGCUGAAAGUGCUUCAUAGGAUUGACCAGUCAUGAAAGUUGACUAAUAUUUUUUUGGGUGAUACCCACUUUUCCAGUGGAACAGGUAGUUCAGACCACAGAUAUAUAGAACAAAUCUAUGAUUUGAAGUAUUGCAAUUGCACUAAUGUAUUAACUCUUGGAUUUGUUUAUAUAUGAAUAGUAAAAUCCUUCCCUGGAAAUGUUAUGUAAUCCUGGUAAUCUUUUAAAGAUGCCAUACUUAAAACUAGACUGAACAAAGAAUUAGGAGCUUUAAAACUAGAAGAUUCCAUAGUUUCUCCAUAGAGGGACUAACGUGUUAUCCCUCUUAAAUUGUUCAUUUAUAUUCUGUUUGCUUCUACCUGCGUUUCCAGACAAUAGUGAGUGAGGAAGGGGGAGCUUAAAAAUACAUUGUCUGACCUCUUAUCUCGGAGGUUGUGUACUGUUGCAUUAAAAAUAGUACUGCAAAUAAAUAUUUGCUACCAACUUGCA
rnacentral:lncRNA from 1 species